rnacentral:piRNA from 1 species
UAGACAGCAAAUUAAACACUGAA